GCGUGAGUGAUGAAGGCCCUAGGGUUGUAAAGCUCUUUCACCCGUGAAGAUGAUGACGGUAGCGGGAGAAGAAGCCCCGGCUAACUCCGUGCCAGCAGCCGCGGUAAGACGGAGGGGGCUAGCGUUGUUCGGAAUUACUGGGCGUAAAGCGCGCGUAGGCGGUUUGCCAAGUUAGGCGUGAAAUCCCGGGGCUCAACCCCGGAACUGCGCUUAAAACUGGCUCACUAGAGACCGGAAGAGGUGAGUGGAAUUCCCAGUGUAGAGGUGAAAUUCGU
rnacentral:rRNA from 1 species